rnacentral:misc_RNA from 1 species
UCGAGUUUGGUUACCUUUUAGGUACCUUCUCCCACCAAUUGUGAACCUUUAUUUUGUUGCCUCGGUGGGUGGGUAGUACCCCUACCUUUUUCAGUUCAAAACCUGAAAAACUCACCGAAGGAUUUUUCAAACUCGUUUAAUCAAUGUAUUCUGAGUUAACAAAAAAUUUAAACA